GGGGUUUGACGUGUGUCUGAAGGGUGUAGAAAUACAUUCCGCUUUUCGGAGCAGGCACAUUAGGUGCUGCACGGCUGUCGUCAGCUCGUGCCGUGAGGUGUUGGGUUAAGUCCUCUAACGAGCGCAACCCCUAUCCACAGUUGCCAUCAGGUAAUGCUGGGCACUCUGCGGAGACUGCCGGUGACAAACCGGAGGAAGGUGGGGACGACGUCAAGUCAUCGUGGCCCUUACGUCCCGGGCUGCAAACGUGCUACAAUGGCCGGUACAAAGGGAAGCAAUGCCGCGAGGUGGAGCAAAUCCCAAAAAACCGGUCUCAGUUCGGAUUGUAGUCUGCAACUCGACUGCAUGAAGU
rnacentral:rRNA from 1 species